rnacentral:rRNA from 1 species
GACAGAGGCCUCAAGCGUUAGGCGGAAUCACUGGGCUUAAAGCGUGUGUAGGCGGAUCGUUAAGUGUCUUGUGAAAUCCCACGGCUCACCCGUGGAACGGCUGGGCAUACUGGCGAUCUUGAGCCACUUAGGGGUUACCGGAACAAAUGGUGGAGCGGUGAAAUGCGUAGAUAUCAUUUGGAACGCCAAUGGUGAAAACAGGUAACUGGGAGUGUGCUGACGCUGAGACACGAAAGCCAGGGGAGCGAACGGG